rnacentral:rRNA from 1 species
GAUGAACGCUGGCGGCGUGCCUAAUACAUGCAAGUCGAGCGAACGGACGAGAAGCUUGCUUCUCUGAUGUUAGCGGCGGACGUGUGAGUAACACGUGGAUAACCUACCUAUAAGACUGGUAUAACUUCGGGAAACCGUAGCUAAUACCGGAUAAUAUUUUGAACCGCAUGGUUCAAAAGUGAAAUACGGUCUUGCGGUCACUUAUAGAUGGAUCCGCGCUGCAUUAGCUAGUUGGUAAGGUAACGGCUUACCAAGGCAACGAUGCAUAGCCGACCUGAGAGGGUGAUCGGCCACACUGGAACUGAGACACGGUCCAGACUCCUACGGGAGGCAGCAGUAGGGAAUCUUCCGCAAUGGGCGAAAGCCUGACGGAGCAACGCCGAGUGAGUGAUGAAGGUCUUCGGAUCGUAAAACUCUGUUAUUAGGGAAGAACAUAUGUGUAAGUAACUGUGCACAUCUUGACGGUAACUAAUCAGAAAGCCACGGCUAACUACGUG